CUCCUCCUGUAUCCCAGCGAUCGCAGCGCGCGGGCGGAAGUGCCCAAGAUGGCGUUUUGAGGGUGUCGGUGUUGCGGAUCGACGCGGCUCGCACCAUGGCGGAGAAGUUCGACAGCUUGGAGGAGCAUCUGGAGAAAUUUAUUGAGAACAUUCGACAGCUUGGCAUCAUCGUCAGCGACUUCCAGCCCAGCAGCCAGGCGGGCCUCAACCAGAAACUAAAUUCUAUGAUUACGGGACUACAAGAUGUUGACAAAUGCCGACAACAGCUGCAUGAUAUUAAUGUACCACUGGAAGUAUUUGAGUACAUUGAUCAAGGUCGAAAUCCUCAGCUUUACACCAAAGAAUGCCUGGAGAGAGCCUUGGCCAAGAAUGAACAAGUCAAAGGGAAAAUUGAUACCUUGAAGAGGAGUGUGGGUGAACAAUAGAGGAUGGAUGAGGACAAUCAGUCGUGCUGGAACAGUGAGGGCCAUACAAAAGCAGUUGCUAAAAAUUGCAAAUAAGAGUGAUUGGCAGUAUACAACAGAUCAGAAAUUCAAGGGACUUUUGAUUCACGAACUGAGCAAAGUUUUUCCUGAAGAAAUGUCUAAAUACCGAGCUAUCCGAUGUGAAGAUCAUCUGCCCACGUAGCUAGAUCCAAUGUGUUUUAUUUUGCAAAACUAUAUUGCUUCCUUUUUCCAGGAAACCAACCCGAUUAUGGCUAGUUUUUUGUAGCCAGAUAAAUUAUUCUUGACUGCUCUGAAGGAAUACAUGAUAUGUUUCCAAUACAUGACAUACAGCAGAAUAUCACUGAGAAAGCAUAAAAAUGCCUUUUUUACAUUCUGGAUGCAUUACUGCUUACAUUGAAUGGAUUUAGUUGGUAUGUGUGUCGACAUUAUGGCAACAUCUGAAAUGUGUGGGGUAGACAAAUUUAGUUUAAAACUGAUUUUGAGAUACUUUUGUACCAGUGUACAUGAAUUCAUUUUCUAUAUUGCUGGACCGUGCAGCAAUUUUUAUAAUAAAAUAAGUUGUUUGCUACCA